rnacentral:rRNA from 1 species
UACGUAGGUGGCAAGCGUUGUCCGGAUUUACUGGGCGUAAAGAGCGCGCAGGCGGUCGAGUAAGUCGAAUGUGAAAGCCCCCGGCUUAACUGGGGAGGGUCAUUCGAUACUGUUCGACUUGAAGGCAGGAGAGGGCAGCAGAAUUCCCGGUGUAGUGGUGAAAUGCGUAGAUAUCGGGAGGAAUACCAGUGGCGAAGGCGGCAUCCUGGACCAAUACUGACACUGAGGAGCGAAAGCCAGGGGAGCAAACGGG